GACGAGUGGCGGACGGGUGAGUAAUGUCUGGGGAUCUGCCCGAUAGAGGGGGAUAACCACUGGAAACGGUGGCUAAUACCGCAUAACGUCGCAAGACCAAAGAGGGGGACCUUCGGGCCUCUCACUAUCGGAUGAACCCAGAUGGGAUUAGCUAGUAGGCGGGGUAACGGCCCACCUAGGCGACGAUCCCUAGCUGGUCUGAGAGGAUGACCAGCCACACUGGAACUGAGACACGGUCCAGACUCCUACGGGAGGCAGCAGUGGGGAAUAUUGCACAAUGGGCGCAAGCCUGAUGCAGCCAUGCCGCGUGUAUGAAGAAGGCCUUCGGGUUGUAAAGUACUUUCAGCGGGGAGGAAGGCGAUGUGGUUAAUAACCGC
rnacentral:rRNA from 1 species